rnacentral:rRNA from 1 species
GAUGAACGCUAGCUACAGGCUUAACACAAGCAAGUCGAGGGGAAACGAUAUUGGAAGCUUGCUUCCGAUAGGCGUCGACCGGCGCACGGGUGAGUAACGCGUAUCCAACCUGCCCACCACUUGGGGAUAACCUUGCGAAAGUAAGACUAAUACCCAAUGACGUCCAUAGAAGACAUCUGAAAUGGAUUAAAGAUUUAUCGGUGAUGGAUGGGGAUGCGUCUGAUUAGCUUGUUGGCGGGGUAACGGCCCACCAAGGCGACGAUCAGUAGGGGUUCUGAGAGGAAGGUCCCCCACAUUGGAACUGAGACACGGUCCAAACUCCUACGGGAGGCAGCAGUGAGGAAUAUUGGUCAAUGGGCGAGAGCCUGAACCAGCCAAGUAGCGUGCAGGAUGACGGCCCUAUGGGUUGUAAACUGCUUUUAUAAGGGAAUAAAGUGAGUCUCGUGAGACUUUUUGCAUGUACCUUAUGAAUAAGGACCGGCUAAUUCCGUGCCAGCCGCCGCAGUAA